rnacentral:rRNA from 1 species
UACGUAGGGUGCGAGCGUUAAUCGGAAUUACUGGGCGUAAAGCGUGCGCAGGCGGUGAUGUAAGACCGAUGUGAAAUCCCCGGGCUUAACCUGGGAACUGCAUUGGUGACUGCAUUGCUGGAGUAUGGCAGAGGGGGGGUGGAAUUCCACGUGUAGCAGUGAAAUGCGUAGAUAUCUGCAGGAACACCCGUGGCGAAAGCGGCGCGCUGGACCACUACUGGACGCUGAGGAACGAAAGCUAGGGGAGCAAACGGG